rfam:Salmo salar isolate Sally breed double haploid chromosome ssa12, whole genome shotgun sequence.
CCCUGUGGCUCAGUUGGUAGAGCAUGGUGUUUGCAACGCCAGGGUUGUGGGUUCGAUUCCCACCGGGG